rnacentral:rRNA from 1 species
UACAGAGGUCUCGAGCGUUGUUCGGAUUCAUUGGGCGUAAAGGGUGCGUAGGUGGCGAGGUAAGUCGGAUGUGAAAUCCCGGGGCUCAACCCCGGAACUGCAUUCGAUACUGCCCUGCUUGAGUACUGGAGAGGAGAUUGGAAUUUACGGUGUAGCAGUGAAAUGCGUAGAUAUCGUAAGGAAGACCAGUGGCGAAGGCGGAUCUCUGGACAGUUACUGACACUGAGGCGCGAAAGCUAGGGGAGCAAACGGG